CUCUAUAUUAUAAUGCUGUUUAUUCUCACAACUGGUUACAUUGAUAAAGUGUACAAAUCAGUGAGCAGCAAACGGAAGCUAACACAUCCACCAGUGGGACUUGUUGGAUUGUUGUUGUUCAUUUGUGUGAGAUUGACAGAUACACUGGGAGUCCACCACUGUUACAUCACCUUCAUCCUCUUCCUCACCCCUGAACCACUGAUGGACUCCCAGCUCUGAGUGCGCUGUACAGGGUGAAGAUAUAUUUCCUUUUUCUGCCUGUUUCUGCGAAGCGGAGCGUGUUGUUGUAGCAUUGUGAGUUAACCAGAGACUGAGACAAUGACACCAAGUCCAGAGACUUCACUUGCCUCAACUAAUAAAACCAGUAUAUACCUUUAUAAAAUAGAAUAAAUAAAAUAAAAAAUAUUUCUAUUCAGUACAUACACCCUUCUCUCAACCGUCCAUAGGCAUGCAAGGAUUUUAUGACUUUCAUUUCUCGAGAUCAAAAGAAUGCAUAGAUAAUUGCUCAGUGAGAUCAGCAUCAACGUAAUUGACAACUGUGACAGUUUUCCAAUCACUUCUUCUCUUUUCAUUAUUGGCUCUUGUAUUUUUCAUAUCUACAACAAUGUAUAUCACUAUUUUACACUUUGGCCAUUUGGUGAGUUUUUCUUUUAAAAAAAGGCAUUUCAUUAAAAGAAAAUAAUAGAAAACUACAAGACAUUCAAAAUGAAAAAUAAACAUAGCUUAUAACAAUGAUUAAUGCCAAAUGUUACAUUUAUAUGGAUAAUAUGUACACACAAAUGUUGUUGCUUCAUUCACAUUUCAACAUCCUUGUGACAAAAAGGUGAAGUGGCUUCUGUUUCUCAUUGAAAUCUCAAUUAAAGCUCCUACGUCCUUGAAUCUCAAACUCAUGAUGAUGUAAUCGUGUUGGUUUGCUAAGCCCCGCCCCCUCGGUUACUGCUGCUGCCUAUGUCACGCUAAACCUUAAACUGCACACACAGCAGAUUUCCGACUCAAAACUUUAAAGUUUAUCCAAAAAUAAUUCAGCUGGAUCUCAUGCAGGAGUAAUCAAAGCAGACUCGUAUUCAAGCAGAUACUGUUCGCUUGCUAAUUUGCUAUAUAAGCUAAACGGGAGCUCCAGAAGUUUGUUGAAGUAACUGUUUCUUGUUGGUCAUGCUAUCGUACUGACAAACUAAGACUGGAGUCACAUGCACCAACGAAAAGCUAGCGAGUUUUGCCGAUCAUUCUUCAACGUUUGAAAUAGUUUUUCUGUGGCCAGUGUGCGGACUGUGAUGUUGUGCCCAAACAUUCCCAAAACCUGUACAAGGACACUGCUGCCAACACCACCUGUAAUAUAAUGAGUACCGUAUUUUUCGCACUAUCAGGCACACCUGAUUAUAAGGCGCACCAUCAAUGAAUGUGUCUAUUUUCUUACAGAAGGUGCACCGGAUUAUAAAGCGCAUUAAGCCAAACAAAACAGUCAGAUAAGUCAAACUUCAUUUAACUUGAUCAAUAACUCCGCGAGGCUACGGUCACUGCAGUGCUCCGAAAAGCACAAAGGAUUUUAAGUGCGCCUUAUAGUACGAAAAUUACGGUAGUAUCACAAUGAGCGUAUGCCAUGAAAAACAUUAACCAGUUAGCCCCACAGAGUACAUUUUAGUCUUUUUGUUGGUUUAUUUUUUUUUUUAAAUAAACAGGCUAAACCUUCUUUACUUUUCACUUCCUGAUUUUUGGAUUUGUGGCAGCCAUAAAAAACACGACAGUUUGACAAGGCAGCAUCAUCUAGUUACUGUUCUUUCAACUAGGAUGGAGGGAUGUAGCGAGCAGCAGACAGUCAUCCGCUGUCGUGUUUUUGUACAUUUAAAGGAUUACAUCACUAACACCGUACACCCGACAUUUUCAGAUGUGUGAUGAUAAAGGCUAGCAGUGUUGAAUUGAGAUUUACAUGAGACAAACAGACCGAGGCGAGUGAUCUUGUGGCAUCGAUGAAAACGGUCAUAAAAAAAGGAAGUGGGUGAUGAAAAGAUAGUGAAGGCGCAUUAAAGUGAACAGAACCCUGGAGACAGGAAGCAGCCCAGGACAGUCCUGUUGGAUAAAGUCAACAUGUCUCACUGUUGGCUUUUCUCUGUAAAAGAACGGCUGAGGAGGAAAGGAGGUGAACUCGACGCUCUUCCUCUCACCUCCCCAAAGCUCAGCCCAUCUGCGGACAAAACCAGCACUACCACACCCAGACACAAACACACAUUCCUCCUCUCUUCUUCUUCUUCUUCUUUGCAAGAUCAUUGGAGACUUUCCUGUUUCCAAUCCUCUUAUGAAGUCUCUGCUGAGGUGGGAUCUAAAGGAAUAAAAUGUCAAAUUUCCUCCAGCAUGUGUAUUAAAGAGCAGCAGCAGCAGCAGCAGCAUGCUGAUGUCUCCUGCCUGUAGAGCAGCAGUCUCAUAAUCUUUACAGCAGGGGGAGGAGUAGACCUCAGUUCAUUGCUGCAUCUCUUCCUCCAUUAUGGCUAUAGUCUGUCAUCUUCCAAGGUGAACGAAAGAACAACACAAGAGGAACAAGGGCGAUGUUUUCUGGUGAAAGGUCACCACUCGUUCAGAGCCUCCAGGCUGAUUCUUGCAGGAAUGAACAAAAAAGCAACAAAAGACAGCGUGGCUUUGAUUUCUCAUCCCUUCAGUCUCUGAAAGCAGCAGCAGAUUGUUGAUAUUUUCUAGUUUUCUUCUGUAAAAAGUUCAUGCACAAUCAGUUAGACAGGUUAGACUGAGGGUGUGUGUGUGUGUGUGUGGACUGAUGGUCAAAUCUACUGUGUCUGUAGCAGCUUCCUUCGAUUAUUUAUCACACACUAAUAUUAGAAAAUCAGACAUGAUGGCUUCAUUUUUUCCAACCUUCCAUUUACACCAUAUGAAAGUCUUCUACGGUUUGUGAGGAAGAGGGAAGAAGGGAGACGAGGCAGCCACUACAAACUAUACACUGUAUAGAAAGACGGACUAAAUAACCGCUCCC